GUGCUUGCUUCACCAGCAUAUAUUCUAAAAUUGGAACUAUACAGAGGUUAGCAUGACCCCUGUACAAGAAUGACAACAGGAAUUCGUGAAGCCUUCUGUUAAAAAACAAACUCUU
rnacentral:snRNA from 1 species